GGGGGAGUGGCGAAAUGGCAGACGCCGCGGACUUAAAAUCCGCUGAGGGCGACCUCGUGUGGGUUCGAAUCCCACCUCCCCUACCA
rnacentral:tRNA from 1 species